UACGGAAGGCAGCAGUGGGGAAUAUUGCACAAUGGGCGAAAGCCUGAUGCAGCUAUGCCGCGUGUAUGAAGAAGGCCUUAGGGUUGUAAAGUACUUUCAUCGGGGAGGAAAAAACAAAACUAAUAAUUUUAUUUCUUGACGUUACCCGAAAAAGAAGCACCGGCUAACUCCGUGCCAGCAGCCGCGGUAAUACGGAGGGUGCUAGCGUUAAUCAGAAUUACUGGGCGUAAAGAGCACGUAGGUGGUUUUUUUAAAGUCAGAUGUGAAAUCCCUGGGCUUAACCUGGAACUGCAUUUUGAAACUGAAAUACUAGAGUAUCGUAGAGGGAGGUAGAAUUCUAGGUGUAGCGGUGAAAUGCGUAGAUAUCUGGAGGAAUACCUGUGGCGAAAGCGGCCUCCUAAACGAAUACUGACACUGAGGGUGCGAAAGCGUGGGGAGCGAAACAGGGAUUAGAUACCCGU
rnacentral:rRNA from 1 species